UCAGGUUCUCAUGGAGCACAUUGAACCUUAUGCAAUAUCCAACGGGACGAUUUCUCUUUCUUAUUUGUUUUUAAUAGAAUAAUGGGAGUGUUUUUGUGCAUUGGCCGCAUCUUUAUAUUGAGGCAGAAAGCAUUACAAACCUCUAUGUCUAUGGCUAAACAUCUUGCGAAUCGUUGGUCUGAACUCUUCAGUGAAUCCAUCUGUUAACACUGCUUAGAUGUUGUUUUGUUUUGUAAUUUAUUGUUUCCUUGGCAUUUGAGUAUCUACGCUUCCUACUCUCUACAGAGUUACCGACACAUAAUUGUUAACAUAUAUUAUAACAUCAAGCGCAAAUGAGCAGUUCUUCAUGGCGUUACCAUGUGCAAAUUUGUUGCUGCUGUCAGAUUUUUUGCACAGCCACUGAUGCAGAAAACCAUUUGGUCUGAGGAAUUGAAAUCCGUUAUCAUAUUUCUGAGAGUUACUAUGCCAGGUGCUGGAGUUGAUUUAUGUCUAUCAUGUCUCGGAUGAUACUCUGUCAGUUCAGGUGGGUUGAGUGUAAGUGCAAGUGUUUGGAUUCAUAAAGUGAUAACCAAUAAAAUAUACUACUUUUUAUAAUGCUAAAAAUAAUUUUAUCUUUUGGGGCAUGUUAUGAUACUAGUAAGCAUGUGCCCAGUGCCACCUUCUAAUGCAUCAAGUUUGAUUCAAGAUGAUUGUGGUUUGUACAAUGUCACGUUGACUGUAAGUUGAAAUUUUGACUAUACCAAUUGAAUAAAUAAAAUUAGUUCGGUUAGUUGCUUAGAAUGUUCUAUUCUAUCUUAUAGUAUCUUACCAUGUGAUAAACUUUAUCUGAUAGUAUGUUGUUAUGUUAUUAUUGACUGCUCCAUACUUUGAAUUUUGGAAAAGAUUUAUAAAGUUACCAAACCAGUGUCGACGGUGUUUUAUUAUUGUGUGCUGGCAGCAUAACUGCCAUUGCUAUUAUGUGGAAAACACCAAUACUAGUGCAACAAAUCAUCGUUAAUGGGAUUACCGCAAAGAUAAUUUUAAGCACUUAUAUUUGGAGGAAGCUUUCAUAAGCUUAGAUAGAUAUUGAUCCGCCGAACAUUGACUAUCAUGUCUGUUUCUCCGUGCUUUGGUGAAUAAUUGCAUCCGCAUUUAGGUUAUGAAUUUAUUGCCUUGGAUUGAGAAGUAUAUAAGGUCAUUGUUCUUGUUACUAUGCUCAAACUGGUAGUUGAAUCCACUACAAUAAUUUUAGUGGCCUACCACUGGCAUGAACAACUAACUGCCUGCCUGGCAUGUUGGUUAGAGAAAACAAGCUACUGCUGCUAGGAAGUUGGCUGUGGCUGGAACUUUGUAUUCUGUGGGACACUUCCACUGGUGGUUUUGAUAUUUCUGUUUAGAUCUCUGGAAUUUCCACAAUGUUUGAGCAAAUUAAAAUAGAGUAAAGAGUGUUUCCACUAUGAUAGUUUAAAAAUUCAAUUACAAAUUAUUAUAAAUGAUAAGUUAAUUGAUUUUUAUAAGAAUUUACAAUCUUGGUAUUGUCAAUAUAUACUUUUUUUUUGCAUUAACAACAUGUAAAAGUUAAACUCAUUAAAACAAUAAAUAUUUGAUAAUUUUUUAGGAUUUAAUUUUUAUGCACAUGUAAAAUAUUUUGUCCUAUCAACCAAUAAGAAAUUAUGAUAUACAAGCAAGUUAUUAUAAAAGGCAAUUAGAUAAUAAUAUAAAAAUCUCUUUAUAUUGUUAAUUUAUAGGUAAUUUUUUUCAUCUUUUUAUUAUAUUAAAAAUAGAAAAGUGACUAAUAUUUAUAUUUUGAGCAGUUAAAAAUAUUUAACAGAAUAUAUUAAACGUGUUUAGGAUAAAUUUUUCUAUGAGUACAACACAGAAUAAGAAGGAUGUAAAUUAAAUUGAGUCUGCUAAUUUAAAUUCAACCACUUCAGUAUUUGAAGAAAAAUGAGGGGUGAACUUCUAUAUUUUAAUCAGUGUCCUUCCUUUUGUGUCCCGCCGGCUACUAACACCCUGUCUCUUUUUCAUGAUUGUAUUAUUAAUAAUGGGAACUGCAGGUUCCAGGUUGUGUGCAAAAAAUACUACUUUUUCUUGUAAGAGGAGUGUUUGAUACGCAGUGAACUGAGCCGUUGUUGAUGCAAUUCGCCUAUAAAUGCAAACAAAUCAAGGGCAUUGCUGUUAGUGUACAUCACAAAUUUGGGUUUUGGACUAGCACACAAUGAGGCCUAUGCGUGAAGUGUUACAUAAGUAAUGGCAUGGCCUCACUCACAAUGAAAAUGGGAGUAAGAAAAUUAAUCUAAGUUUAUUAGCUGAGAGGUCUGAAACAUGUUGAAUGAUGAUGGGUGAUGGACAAUGAUGAAUGGGCAGAGUUGAUGGUCUGACAGUGGACUUGUGAAUCGUGACUGCAGCCAUACAUACAAAAGUCCUGUAACCAUGUGAGGCUUUUCUGAGUUUCGUACGAAUUAUUUUGGUAGUUUGCUGACAUUUGGCCAUGAUCUCUAUCUCCUGAGGAUCUAGGAUACUUUCAUCUGAAGAAAAAGGCUAAAUACAGGACCACUCAACCAAACGGGAUACUCAAGCCAGAUACUGCUCAACUUUACAUGUCUUUCUAAUUUUGCCAUCUAUGCAAAUUUAUCACUGCUACAAACUCAGAAACUCAGCAGGCUGAUGCAGGCAGGGAAGAAAGAUAGAUUAUUUACUGACAGCACCAGGAAAUCAAAAUGAUACAAGAGUUUCAUGAGAUGAAGACAGUAGGCAUCAUUAGAAAUCUGUCUCCUAACCCCACACUUUAUUUUAUACUAUAUAGAUAUUAUUUCCAAUCUUGAGGCAUGAGUCUCUUUUUCCUUUUUACUUUUUUUUCCCUCUUGAACUUACUACAAAAAUCACAUUUAGCUUUAAGAACUUGUUAAUGUUGCCUGCCACAAGUUUCUACAAAUUAGUAAGAUAGAUUUUUCUUUUCUAUGCACUAAUUUACCCAACUAAUGUGAACUGAUUCUGAAUUCAGUAAAAGUGCUAUCUAUGACUUCCAUGAUUGACUAUUUGCUAUCUCAUGACAAAUUAACCGUUUUAACAUAAAUUGUGGUAUUGAGAAAGAAAUGGUGUUGUGGCAGAGAAAGAGAGAGGUACUAAAUGAACCUAUUAAAAUGGGUGGCAGGGUACACUCUACUUUACACUUGAAUUGAAAAAUGAUCAGUGGCAUAGUGUUCAUAUAUUAUUUCUUUUUAAGUUUGCACUUGGGAACAUUACACAAAUUGAAUUAAUGAACUUUUGAAAAGGGAGAGGAUGACCCCAACGACCUCUGCAAAAAUUUGUCACAAUGUGUAACCACUCUGAGGGCAAAGCUAUAUGUCUCUGCAGUGUGCACAGAACGGCCAUCAUAAAAGCCACAUGCAAAGUGUACCGUGCCGCCCCCUCCUUGUGUGAUACAACUUGGUAGCAUAUAUAUGGACAGAAAUGCAAUUAUAAAAUUCUCCCAUGCAGUGAUGCAAUGCAACCAUAUUGAUUUGUUUACCUUAAUUUGCAUGCCGACCGACAUUGGAUAUUUCAAUUAUAU